UUGAAGCCUUUGGGGUUCGAUUUAAAACCAAAUUGGGUCCACAUGGGUUGAUUGAGUUUUUUUAAUUAAAGGAUUGGGUCUGGUUCAUGAUCAAUUAGAUAUGCUGAGACCAACUCAGCUUAAUUGGGUUCGGACCCAUUCUAAUUUAACUUAAUUUAGCUCGGAUUUAACCCAAUUUACAGUUUGGGCUCGUCCAGACUUAGCCCAAUCUGAUUGAGCUCGGAUUUAGACUUAGCCCAGUCUUAUUGGGCUUGGGUAGUCAAAUUUGGCUAAACUCAUUUCAUUUCGUUUUUUUUUUUCUUCUCUUUUUCUUCUUUUUCUUUUCUUUUUCUUUUUCUUUUCUUUCUUUUUUUUUUUUUCCUUCUCUUCUUCAGAACCUUCCCGACACCCUCCUCUCUUCCCCCUUUCUCCUCCUCUCUUCUCCGACGAAGGGAGGACGACGAGCGGAAGGGAGGACGGCGAGCGGAAGGGGGCUAGGCCACGACCGGCGGCGUCCGCGACCAGGCCCCGCAGCGCCCUCGGCCGCGCUCGCGGCCGACGCUCGACGCCCACAUCCUCGGCCGGCCUGCGGCCGAGGUUCGUGCCGGCGGCGCUCGCGGCCGAAGCCGGUGGCCACCGCACGCGACGUCGAAUCGGUGGGUCCCCGUUCCCUUUUCUUCUCUAUUUCUUUUCUUCUUCCCAGAGCUUCCUCUCCUCCUCUCUUUCCUUCCUUCUCUCCCGAUCCCUCUUUUCCUUCCCCCUUUCUUCUCCUGCGAAGGGAGGCAGUGAGUUCGGGAGAGGUCGGCCACAGCCGGCGGUGCCCUCGGCCGGCCUGCAGCCGACGCCCGUGCCGGCGGCAUCCUCGGCUGGCCCGCGGCCGACGCCCGUGUCAGCGCCGUUCGCAGCCGAAGCCGGCCACCGCCGCACGCGACGUCACCCCGCAAAACUUCGGUAAGAGCGAGAAAGAAGACUGAAGAAGGCUCCAAUCCGGCGGCGACGGCGGCGGAGGAGGAGCUGAAGUAUCUCUGCAUCGCGGUGAGUAGAAGACUGGCGAACACAGAGGCGCUCUUGGUGAGGGCACUUGACACUCCGAUGAGGACAAAGAUUGGUUCCUCCACACGAUGGACAAGUACUUCGAGCGAUUCGAUGAAUUCAAGCACCACCAAGAACGACCCCACCUCCAUUACCAGGUCCCCUUUUCUCUUUAAUUUUCACCCUUUCUCUAAGGAAGUUUUCGGUAGCGUAUUAAAGGGAAAAAUCACUGCUUGAUUAUUAUUUUGAGAUAUUUAUUUAUUUUUAUUUUUGGGCAAAAUAUUUAUUUAGAUGCUUGAUGUUGUAGGUUGGGUCUCUUUUUACCGUUGAUUAGAAAGAUUUAUGUGCAAUCAUCCAAAAAAAGAAAAGAAAAGAUCUUUUUCCUUUUUAAUGCAUAUAGCAUUUGAUCGGUUGUUUGUGUCGUCGUCCUGGGAUUGUUGUUUUAUUCUCUUUUUAAGUGAAUAAGAGAAUAUGCUAAUGAAUAAUAAUGUGCAGAAAAGCAAAGUUUAGAGAAGUGCCAUCUUAUGUUCACCUUUACCUCCAGUACGAACUGAGGCUGUAACAUUACUUGUUACAUCUGACAUGCAAACCUCUAACACUCUUGUCUACGAAGCUGGUACUAGGCUUUUGUUGAUGAUGCAGGAAUGCUCCUUCAAUGCAUUUGUGGUACAAGCAAAAACUUUACAGAAUCCUAUGAUUAUAUACAUCAUAAUACUACCGAGUUAGGUUCCUUCUCCAUCUCAUUUUGUUCACUUUGUGUGGAGUGUAAAUUUUCUAUCCUUCUCCUUCUAAUAUCAGCACUAGGAUUGGAAUAAUAGUAAAAGAGGCCAAGAUUAUCAAAUAGAGAAUAGAGGGCCAAUGAAAACAAACACCAAGAGGAUCAUAGGAGAACAAGAACGAAGGGUUGACUGAUCAAGAAAAAAUCCGCCCUGAUAUCAUUAAAAAUUUAUAUUUAAAAUAAGAUUUGAAUUGCUUGUUUUGUUUAUGGCACUGGGCUCUAUAUAUAAGUUGAGCCUCCAGAUAUAGUAGAAUACAAUAAUAAAAUUUUAUGAUUAUGAAAAAGAUACUAGGGAUCAGAUAUCGUAUAAUACAAUAGCAAACUCCUAUGAUUUGGUACAAAAUAAAAAAGGUAAUGCUUUGUCAGAUGAUUGGAUGGUUGAUUAUAUCCAUAUUUGACUGAAAUUUCAGUAUAUUGUUUUCAGCAUUGAGAGCUACAGAUUGAAUGGUUUGGAUCAUUGAAAAGCCUUCUCUAUUGAUUAUUUUAAGCAUCAAUACUUAGUGGGAUUUAUUCUCUAUUUUAUUAUUUGUUGUUGAAAUCCAUCUUAUUGGUGAUGAAUAUUUUUGUUAUGAAAGCCAAAAUUAAAUCUUAUUGAUGUUUGUGCAGCCUCUAGUUGAACUAGAAAGAAUCUAUUGUAAUCUUAUUAUUCUAAAUAGUAAAAGUUUUCGCCUGAAUUAGGUGUCAUAAUUUUUUUUUCCUUAUAUAGAAGGGUUUUCCAUGUUAAAAAUUGUGUUGUCUCUUAUUUCUAGAUUGCUUGAUUAUUUUUUUAGUUAAUUGUCUAAGUAGAUUGUAGAGAAGAUUGUUGCUUAGUGAGUGAUAUCCCAUUUAAUUACACAAAGACAAAAAAGUUUACGACAUAAUUAUAUCUUGAUUUUUCAAUAAGUGGUAUCAAAGCAGGUUGCUAAUGACUGAAUUUUUUUUUUGUUGAUUAAAUGGAAGAGCAUUCAAGUGGCUGUAUAUUUAAAUCACAUCUUCCAAUUAUUCAAUUUGGAAGCUCGAAAUGGAAGAUUUACUAUUUUGCAAAGAUUUGUAUGAUCCUAUGGAAGGAGAUAGUACCAAACCAAGUGACAAAACUCGACAGUAGUGGAAGAAAAUGAAUAGAAAAACGGUUGGAUUAAUCAAGCAAUGGAUAGAUGAUAUUGUUUUUCAUCAUAUUGCUAUGGAGACUAAUGCUCAUAGUUAAUGGAAGAAACUAUAAAGUCUUUAUGAGCGGAAGACUGCAUAGAAAAAACAUUCAUGAUCACAAAGCUUUUGAAUAUGCAAUAUAAGGAGAAAAAUUCAGUGGUCAAGCAUUUAAGUAGAUUUUAGAAUAUGGUAAAUCAACUAAAUACUAUGAAAAUGAUGUUAGAUGAUGAGUUGCAAGCAUUAUUGUUGCUUAGCUUCUUGUCUGAUAGUUGGAAAACUCUGGUUGUAUCACUUAAGAAUUUUGCUCUUAAUGGUGUGGUAACAUUGGGAAUGGUAAAAGAUAGUAUGCUUAAUGAGGAGACCAGAAGAAGAAAACAUGGUGUGACUACAUAGUCAGAGGUAUUGGUUACAGAAAGGCUGGGGAGGAGUAAAACUAGAAUCUUGCAAAAUUCUAAUAAUCAUGAUAAGUCAAAGAGAAGGUGCAAAUUCAGAAAAGAGAUAAAAUAUUUUUAUUAUGGCAAACCCAGGCACAUGAAAAGAAAGUGUAGAAAAUUUAAAAGAGAGCAAUCAAGAAGAAGAGAUGAAAAAAAGGAAGAAAAUGAUACAACAAUAGUUGCGUCUGAUGGUGAUGUCGAUAUUAUUUGUGAUGAUGCUUGUAUAAACCUUACAAGGAUUGUACUUGGGUUGUUAACUCAGGUGCCUCUUUUCAUGUUACUUCUCGACGGGACAGCUUCACAUCCAACACUAGUGAUGAUUUUUGCAGUGUUAGAAUGGAAAAUGAUGGAGUUACUAAGAUUGUAGGCAUAGAAGACGUUUGCUUGGAAAUCGUUAUUGGGUGUCAUCUAUUACUGAAAAAUGUGAGAAAUGUUCUAGAUAUCCGCCUCCACUUAAUCUCUAUUAAAUUACUUGAUGAUGAAGAUUACGACAACCACUUCGAUGAAGAAAAAUGGAAGCUUACCAAAGGUUCUCUAAUGGUAGCAAGAGAAAAGAAACCAGGCACACUUUAUAUUAUGUAAGCAAAUUUGUGCAAUGAGGAGGUGAAUGCAGUUGGAGACUCCUCUAUUGAAUUAUGGCAUAAGCAGCUUGGACACAUGAGUAGAAGGGACUUAAUAUUCUGACCAAAAAGAAAUUUCUUUCUAUAAAAGGUACGCCCCUAAAGACUUGUACUCAUUGUUUAGCUGGCAAAUAGCAUAGAGUUGAAUUUCAUAAAACCCCUCCAUAUAGAAUAUUACAUGUUUUGGAUUUAAUUCACACUGAUAUUUGUACUAUGGAUGCUAUAACUCUUGGUGGUAUUUUAUAUUUUGUUACUUUUAUUGAUGAUCAUUCCAAAAAAGUAUGGACAUUUGUUUUAAAAUUUAAAGACCAGGUGCUUACUGUAUUCAAGCAUUUUCAUGCUAGUGUUGAAAGAGAAAUGGAAAGACAACUGAAGUAUAUUUGAGCAGAUAAUGGUGGUGAAUACAAAGGUCCAUUUGAGAAAUAUUAUCGAGAUCAUAGCAUCAGGUUUGAAAAAAUCAUUCCUAAAAUACCUCAACAUAAUUGAGUUGCUGACAGAAUGAACCGUACUAUUUGUGAAAGAAUUCGGAGUAUGUUCUCUCAUGCCAAAUUUUCUAAAUUCUUUUCGGGUGAAGCAAGGAGAACUGCAGUGGAUUUAAUCAAACUUUCUCCUUCAGUUUUCCUUAAAGGUGAUGUACCAAAAAGAGUGUAGAUUGGAAAAAAUGUGUCAUAUGAUCACUUAAGAGUAUUUAGCUAUAGGGCAUUUAUUCACAUUCCUAAAAAUGAGUGAUCCAAGUUUGAUCGCAAGUCUAAACAGUAUAUCUUCUUAGGUUAUGCACAUGAAGAGUUUGGUUGCAGACUAUGGGAUCUAGUUGAUAAGAAAGUUAUCAGAAGCAGAGAUGUUGUGUUUCUAGAAAACCAAACUAUUGAAGAUUUUGAAAAUAUUGAGAAGCCAAAGUCUGUCAGUAGAAAUUAUGUUGAUCUAGGUCCAAUACCUGCAACCAUGAUGAAUGAUAUUAAUAGGGAAGAUGUAUAGAAAGAUGAUGGUAACGCAGUUGAUAAGCCAACACUUGGCAAUGAUGUGUCGGAUGAUCAUGUUGAGCAAGUCCCUCCAGAACUACCAAUUAAGCCUCAGUUAAGAAGAUCUACUAGAGAGCACUGACCUUCCUAAAGAUAUUCUCCACAUGAGUAUAUGAUAAUCAUUGAUGGGGGAGUACCAGAAUGCUACCAAGAGGCCAUAAAUCAUGAACAAAAGAGAGAGUGGUUAAAAGCUAUGCACGAGGAGAUAAAAUUCUUCCAUGAGAACUGCACAUUUGAGUUGAUGGAACUACCUAGAGGUAAGAGGGCACUCAAGAAUAAGUGGGUGUUCAAGUUCAAGACUCAAGAGAAGAGCUCACAGCCAAGGUACAAGGCACCGUUGGUUGUGAAAGGUUUUGAUCAGAAAAUUGAUAUUGAGUUUUAAGAAAUUUUCUCAUCUGUAGUCAAAAUGUCUUCAACCGACUUAUUUUCGAUUUAUCUACAAGAAUAAAUUUAGAGAUUGAACAACUUGAUGUGAAAACUACCUUUCUUCAUGGUGACUGAAAGAAGAAAAUUUAUAUCGAGAAGCCAGAAGGGUUCAUAGUUAAAGGCAAAGAGCAUCUCGUAUGUAGAUUAAAGAAGAGUUUGUAUGGGCUCAAGCAGGCACCUCGACAAUGAUGUAAAAAAUUUAAUUCAUUUAUAAUGGACUAUGGGUAUAGUAAAACUGCUUCUCAUCAUUGUGUAUUUAUUAAUAGAUUCUCUGAUGAAGAUUUUAUUAUUCUCUUGUUUUAUAUGGAUGAUAUGUUGAUCGUUGAUCAUGAUGCUAAGAAGAUUGAAAGCUUGAAAAGAGAGUUGAACAAGUUCUUUGCUUUGAAGUACUUGGGACCGGUUAAACAAAUUCUUGGCAUGAGAAUUACUCAUAAUAGGAAGAAUAGAAAGAUUUGGUUAUCCCAAGA